rnacentral:rRNA from 1 species
UACGUAGGGAGCAAGCGUUGUCCGGAAUCAUUGGGCGUAAAGCGCGCGUAGGUGGCCUCGUAAGUCCGCUGUGAAAGUCAAAGGCUCAACCUUUGAAAGCCGGUGGAUACUGUGGGGCUAGAGUACGGAAGAGGCGAGUGGAAUUCCUGGUGUAGCGGUGGAAUGCGCAGAUAUCAGGAGGAACACCAAUAGCGAAGGCAGCUCGCUGGGACGGUACUGACGCUAAGGCGCGAAAGCUGGGGGAGCAAACGGG